UCCAGACUCCUACGGGAGGCAGCAGUGGGGGAUAUUGCACAAUGGGGGGAACCCUGAUGCAGCGACGCCGCGUGGGUGAAGGAGCGUUUCGGCGCGUAAAGCCCUAUCGGCAGGGAAGAAGGAGGACGGUACCUGACUAAGAAGCCCCGGCUAACUACGUGCCAGCAGCCGCGGUAAUACGUAGGGGGCAAGCGUUAUCCGGAUUUACUGGGUGUAAAGGGGGCGCAGACGGCAGCGCAAGCCAGGAGUGAAAGCCCGGGGCCCAACCCCGGGACUGCUCUUGGAACUGCGCGGCUGGAGUGCAGGAGGGGCAGGCGGAAUUCCUGGUGUAGCGGUGAAAUGCGUAGAUAUCAGGAGGAACACCGGUGGCGAAGGCGGCCUGCUGGACUGCGACUGACGUUGAGGCCCGAAAGCGUGGGGAGCAAACAGGAUUAGAUACCCCAGUAUAU
rnacentral:rRNA from 1 species